rnacentral:rRNA from 1 species
UACGGGGGGAGCAAGCGUUGUUCGGAUUUACUGGGCGUAAAGGGCGCGUAGGCGGUCAGCACAAGUCAAUUGUGAAAUCUCCGAGCUUAACUCGGAAAGGUCAACUGAAACUGUGCGACUAGAGUGCGGAAGGGGCAACUGGAAUUCUUGGUGUAGCGGUGAAAUGCGUAGAUAUCAAGAGGAACACCUGCGGCGAAGGCGGGUUGCUGGGCCAACACUGACGCUGAUGCGCGAAAGCCAGGGGAGCAAACGGG